GGACAACCUGCCCUGAGGACUGGAAUAAUCCCGGGAAACUGGGGGUAAUUCCAGAUAUGUCAGAACUCCUGGAAUGGGUUCUGGCAGAAAUGCUCCGGCGCCUCAGGAUGGGUCUGCGGCCUAUCAGGGUAGUAGUGGGUGUAACGUACCCACUAGCCUACGACGGGUACGGGUUGUGAGAGCAAGAGCCCGGAGAUGGAUUCUGAGACAUGAAUCCAGGCCCUACGGGGUGCAGCAGGCGCGAAAACUUUACAAUGCGGGCAACCGCGAUAAGGGGACCUCGAGUGCUGGGUUACAAACCUGGCUGUUGGGCUGCCUAAAAAGCAGUCUAUAGCAAGGGCCGGGCAGGACCGGUGCCAGCCGCCGCGGUAACACCGGCGGCUCGAGUGGUAACCGCUGUUAUUGGGUCUAAAGGGUCUGUAGCCUGCCGGCUAAGUCUCUUGGGAAAUCUGGCAUCUCAAGUGUCAGGCUGCCAGGGGAUACUGGUCAGCUUGGGACCGGGAGAGGUGAGAGGUACCUCAGGGGUAGGGGUGAAAUCUUGUAAUCCUUGAGGGACCACCAGUGGCGAAGGCGUCUCACCAGAACGGAUCCGACGGCAAGGGACGAAAGCUAGGGGCACGAACCGGAUUAGAUACCCGGGUAGUCCUAGCCGUAAACGAUACUCGCUAGGUGUCGGCCACGGUGCGACCGUGGUCGGUGCCGUAGGGAAGCCGUGAAGCGAGCCACCUGGGAAGUACGGCCGCAAGGCUGAAACUUAA
rnacentral:rRNA from 1 species